rnacentral:rRNA from 1 species
GACGAACGCUGGCGGCGUGCUUAACACAUGCAAGUCGAACGGAAAGGCCCUGCUUUUGUGGGGUGCUCGAGUGGCGAACGGGUGAGUAACACGUGAGUAACCUGCCCUUGACUUUGGGAUAACUUCAGGAAACUGGGGCUAAUACCGGAUAGGAGCUCCUGCUGCAUGGUGGGGGUUGGAAAGUUUCGGCGGUUGGGGAUGGACUCGCGGCUUAUCAGCUUGUUGGUGGGGUAGUGGCUUACCAAGGCUUUGACGGGUAGCCGGCCUGGGAGGGUGACCGGCCACAUUGGGACUGAGAUACGGCCCAGACUCCUACGGGAGGCAGCAGUGGGGAAUAUUGCACAAUGGGCGGAAGCCUGAUGCAGCAACGCCGCGUGCGGGACGACGGCCUUCGGGUUGUAAACCGCUUUCGCCUGUGACGAAGCGUGAGUGACGGUAAUGGGUAAAGAAGCACCGGCUAACUACGUG